rnacentral:rRNA from 1 species
CCUACGGGAGGCAGCAGUGAGGAAUAUUGGUCAAUGGCCGGAAGGCUGAACCAGCCAAGUCGCGUGAGGGACGACUGCCCUAUGGGUUGUAAACCCCUUUUAUAAGGGAAGAAUAAAUGCUACGUGUCGCAUGAUGCCUGUACCUUAUGAAUAAGCAUCGGCUAACUCCGUUCCAGCAGCGGCGUGAAUAAGGAGGAUGAGAGAGUUCUACGGAUUUAUUGGGUUUAAAGGGUGCGUAGGCGGUUGUUUAAGUGAGCGGUAAAAUUUCGGGGCGCAACCCCGGCCGGCCGUUGAAACUGGGGGCCUUGAGUGGGCGAGAAGAAGGCGGAAUGCGUGGUGUAGCGGUGAAAUGCAUAGAUAUCACGCAGAACCCCGAUUGCGAAGGCAGCCUUCCGGCGCCCUACUGACGCUGAGGCACGAAAGUGCGGGGAUCGAACAGGAUUAGAUACCCUUGUAGUC